GGAACACAAGCGUUCAGUUGUGUCGACACCAACAAGGCAUAUGUUCAAUGGUCGAAGCGCUGGUUCAAUAUUAAUACCAGAUAUGUUGUCCUGUCUAGCACACCUAAUGCUACUCAACCACUGCUGCCAAACCAGUUUAUCACAAGAUACGACGUGAACUCCAUCCUGAAGCCCCGACGCCCCCUUGAACUUUCAAAAAAUGGUUGGGUUUGGUCAAGGGACUGGUAUUGGAUCUGAUAUAUUAUCAUUAUUGUCACACCUUUUCGCUAAAUAUGAGGUCUUGUAAACUGCUUGGCAUUACUCCUUGUGAGGUGUUACCCAUCUUUAUUGACGC